GGUGAGAUGGCCGAGCGGUCUAAGGCGCUAGCUUAAGGAUUUACUUCCUACAAAUCGCUAGUCCGGUAGGUGAACUUUCAAUCGAUUCAUUAAACCGGUUUCUAACCUCUCAUUAGAAAGGGCGUGGGUUCAAAUCCCACUCUCAUCA
rfam:Baudoinia panamericana TAMH 10762 unplaced genomic scaffold BATCOscaffold_5, whole genome shotgun sequence.